rnacentral:lncRNA from 1 species
ACUCCCUCUCUCUUCUCCACUAUGGACAGAGCCUCCACUGAGCUGCUGCCUGCCCGCCACAUACCCAGCUGACAUGGGCACCGCAGGAGCCAUGCAGCUGUGCUGGGUGAUCCUGGGCUUCCUCCUGUUCCGAGGCCACAACUCCCAGCCCACAAUGACCCAGACCUCUAGCUCUCAGGGAGGCCUUGGCGGUCUAAGUCUGACCACAGAGCCAGUUUCUUCCAACCCAGGAUACAUCCCUUCCUCAGAGGCUAACAGGCCAAGCCAUCUGUCCAGCACUGGUACCCCAG